rnacentral:sRNA from 1 species
GACCGCGCCCCCUGGGUCCCCUACCUGAGUGUCGUGGGCAUUCUGGCCAUCAUCGCCUCUUUCUGCAGUGGGCCAGGUGGCAUUCCGUUCAUCUUGACUGGUGAGUUCUUCCAGCAAUCUCAGCGGCCGGCUGCCUUCAUCAUCGCAGGCACCGUCAACUGGCUCUCCAACUUUGCUGUUGGGCUCCUCUUCCCAUUCAUUCAGAAAAGUCUGGACACCUACUGUUUCCUAGUCUUUGCUACAAUUUGUAUCACAGGUGCUAUCUACCUAUAUUUUGUGCUGCCUGAGACCAAAAACAGAACCUAUGCAGAAAUCAGCCAGGCAUUUUCCAAAAGGAACAAAGCAUACCCACCAGAAGAGAAAAUUGACUCAGCUGUCACUGAUG